rnacentral:rRNA from 1 species
CAAGUCGAGGGGCAGCAUUUUAGUUUGCUUGCAAACCAAAGCUGGCGACCGGCGCACGGGUGAGUAACACGUAUCCAACCUGCCUCAUACUCGGGGAUAGCCUUUCGAAAGAAAGAUUAAUACCGGAUGGCAUACGAAUAUCGCAUGAUAUUUUUAUUAAAGAAUUUCGGUUAUCGAUGGGGAUGCGUUCCAUUAGUUUGUUGGCGGGGUAACGGCCCACCUAGCCAACGAUGGAUAGGGGUUCUGAGAGGAAGGUCCCCACAUUGGAACUGAGACACGGUCCAAACUCC